rnacentral:lncRNA from 1 species
AAGAUUCAACAACAAUGAGAUAUGAACCAAACACAAAGGAUUAUGAAUCCAUUUCUAACUUAACUUUAAAACAAUAAUUUAAUGAGUCAUCUUCCUAAUUUGUUGUUUGACUUUUUCAUUUUUAUUCAAUAGACUUAACUUAGACUUGGACUCACACAUACACACAUAUACAGGACUAUAUAGGACUGCAAGUCGUUCAUAGACUUGGUGAUGACUUUUUCGUUGGCAUAGGUUGAGAAAGAAAUUUAGGUGGCACCUAUAUAGGAUAGAACUUAUGGUAGAAGUUUUCUUAGAUGGUCUGCUCAUCCACAGCGAAGAGUUAUAGAAGGUUUGCUAAGCACAGGAAUCCCUGGUUACUGGAGGUAGGAUGAUCUUACCAUAUAGAGGUAGAUUCUUCUUAUACANUAUAGGAGUGANUUAGGACACAACAUUAUGCACUGUCUUAGGUAUUUAUUAUGUAUUUUUUGAAAUGAUGAGUGUUAAGUGAAAAAGCACAAACAAGGCAUGAACCCAACAUGCUUAUACUAAAAUUUGAUUUAUGAAACAUCCAUGAAUUUAGAAGAAACCAAGUGAAUUAAGAUGUAUUUUGCCUGUAGGUAUUGUACUACCUUUUUUUCUUUUACUAUGCAUUUGUGCUAAGAUUAUCUGACAUUCUAAAAUUUUAAAUGAGGGAACAACUAUGCUCAACUGUUACCUGUAUUUGGUAAUGUUUCUGAAUUUUAUGGAUAGUUUAGCUACGCAUGGUGUUAUAAUUUUAACUUUUACUUGAUGGGAUGUGUACCUCCUUGNAUUGUCUCUUAAUUUUCUGGAGAUAGAUGUGGUCUCCCACAUUUGAGAUUCUAUAGCAAGUAAUAAGAUCCGUACAUUGUGCUUAUGAAGCAUCAUUAAUCAUAUGGUUGUGUUGGUUUUUUAAGUUUUCUUUUGCAGUGGUUUUUAAAGUUAAAAAAUUUAAGGGUGAAAACUAAAUUAUGUUCCUAAAUCCUAAGUAACAAUAACAAGAUAAUUAGGCAUCGAAAAAAAUAUUUUACCAUGGAGAUGCUUUGAGAGAAAACUCAGCCCUUUACCGGCUGUAUAGAACUAUAUCUUUUGCUGUUUUACUGAUUUUUAGUGAGUUUCUUUGAUCUGCAUGCGUAACUGAUUUUUAGUGAGUUUCUUUGAUCUGCAUGCGUAGUUAGACUGUAUAACCUAUUAGAAUAAGUUAAUUGAGGUUAAAAUGCAUAAAUUAUAGGGAGACCAGCUCUAAAAUCAGUUCUUACAUGUUAAUAGAACUUAUUGAGUUUUGAGCCUAUGAAUGAUUUCUUUUGUGUGAUUGCACAUAGGAUAUUAGCAUCCCAGAACU